rnacentral:rRNA from 1 species
GACGAACGCUGGCGGCGUGCUUAACACAUGCAAGUCGAACGGAAAGGCCCUGCUUUUGUGGGGUGCUCGAGUGGCGAACGGGUGAGUAACACGUGAGUAACCUGCCCUUGACUAUGGGAUAACUUCAGGAAACUGGGGCUAAUACCGGAUAGGAGCUCCUGCUGCAUGGUGGGGAUUGGAAAGUUUCGGCGGUUGGGGAUGGACUCGCGGCUUAUCAGCUUGUGGGUGGGGUAGUGGCUUACCAAGGCUUUGACGGGUAGCCGGCCUGGGAGGGUGACCGGCCACAUUGGGACUGAGAUACGGCCCAGACUCCUACGGGAGGCAGCAGUGGGGAAGAUUGCACAAUGGGCGGAAGCCUGAUGCAGCAACGCCGCGUGCGGGAUGACGGCCUUCGGGUUGUAAACCGCUUUCGCCUGUGACGAAGCGUGAGUGACGGUAAUGGGUAAAGAAGCACCGGCUAACUACGUG